ensembl:lncRNA
CAAAUAAAUCUCUUUUAAAAGAACUUUAGUGAAUAGGUCUCAUUAGCAGUACACACAUGCAUAGUGAGAGUAGUACCAGCAGGAUUCUGAGUCCCCGGACCGAAGCACCUUGAGGGUCUGGGAAACUGUGUUGCCUUGGGACAGUACUGGAGCACGUGGACCAGGGGGCGGGAACAGUCCCCUCUGCGGUUUUCUAUUGGAGAAGACGAAAAGAGAUUGCAUGCCAAUUGGUUGGGAGAGGUAGCGGCUGGGGAGAGGCGAGGCCGCUGCAGGAUCAAGACUCUGCUCUUCUCUGUCGCCAAGGCUGGCAGAAACUGGUGCUCGGCCUCGUCUUCCUGGUCUUUCCAGGUCGGGCUGACGGCGCUGCUGCCCAACCUGCUGGUGUUCAGAAAGGCCUGGGGCCCAGGGCCCGAGCUCACCCACAGUGCAGGGUGUCCUGUUUGGCGUCCAUGUGACUGGUGAGAGCGAGGAGCAACCAGAGACCUGGUGGCAGUUGCAGUGUUAGGGUCCGUUUAGGGGUCCAAAGGAACAGAACAGACGAUGCAAUCUGCACAGAGAGGUGGCCCCAAUAUCUCUUCCCCACCUUGCAUAUUUUCUGAUGCCCCAAGUUCGCCCAGGGAACCAGGAUCCGGUUGUCGGUUGGAGGACCAUAAAGUUGAGCUAAGAGAUAUGUGGAUCAUAGACCCAUUUGAUUUUGAUGAGCACUUUGAAAAGUACAGUGAUUACGUUCCACAUUAUCCUACAGAUAAAGUAUCUCUGAGAAAUGCUGUGGCUUUGGAUCCAGACCCCAGACUUGAGCAAAACUUGUAGAAGCACAUAAUGGGAAACUUUCUAAAGGUUUGCACUUUCUUCAGUGUGUUUGGCUUUCCAGGUUAUAAGAAGCCAGAUGAGUGUGUCCAUGCCUUGGAGAGCUCCUUUAGCAUCUUUAGUUUCUGCUGGGAAAAUCUUGCUGAGACCAAGUGAGAAGGAAGGUGGGGCAGAGAUGAACCUCUUAGGCCCCAGGGUUCUCAAGGAGAGUUUAAAUAUUAUCUCAGGUACUUACUAGUUGUAUGAUCCUGGACAAGUCACUCAAUCACUGCCUGCUUCAGUUUCCUCAACUAAAAGAUGGGGAUAAUAUCUUACAAGGUUAUUGUGAGACUCUUUGUAAAGUGCUUAGCACCAUGCUUGGUAUUGUGAACUUUAAAAUUACUCCACCCUACUUAGACAGUACUUUAGGGGAAGAUAAAGUUGUAAUCUCCUGGUUAAACAAUGAAGGGACUUAGUUCUCACCUUAUAGUGAAGCUAGAACGUUAAGCUAAGUCUAUUUUUAGGACCUUAAUACAAAAAGAUGUUAAGUACCUAUAAAGGUUAAAUUAAUCACAAAAAGGUCAAGUAACUAACAAAAGGUGAACUUAACAAAGAAGUGUUAAGUAACUCAAAAAUCUAAUCAAAGAAGGUGAGAACUAAAGAAUGGGCAGUCCUGGAGAAAAGCAUCUGCUGUGAUUGGUAGAUGUGAAAAUUUAGGGGAGGUGACACAAGAGAAAAGAUCUUUAAAAAGAGGUCUAUAUGAGCAGCCUGGAAGUUCAGUUCAGGUGUGGAACUCAGCUUGGAGGAGCUCCCUCAGACAGCUUCCUUGAGACAGUCUCGUGGUGACCUGGGUAAGACUGACUUCCUUUUCCCUUGGGCUCAGGGAGGCUCCUUUGGCUAAGGCCUUUAAAUCCUGCCUGGUUCAGUCUGAACCGGAGCAGUUUAAAUUAACUCAUUCCUCUCCCUCUCUCUUCUCUUUAAUUCCUUCUCUCUAUAUUAAUUAAAAUCACCAUAAUUUCCAGCUGACUUGGGUAUUUUGUAAUUUGGGAUU